AUGAACAAGGUUAAGAAGAAUGACUCUUCAACUUCCUCAAUCAGAAGCACUCUUCUUCUCAAAACUUCCUCCGCUGCAUCAACGAUGUGCUUCAGUCUCAGUUCGCUUCGACUUCUUCUCUUCAUCAAUCGUUCAUCACAACAACGACACCAUGACUCCACCAUUCAAUGCUUCAAAGCUCUACCCAUUUCACCCUUGACUUCGACUCAAACUCAGCAAAAAACAAAAACUGUAAACGAAACGAAACACAUACCAAUCGGAGCACCACCUGUGGUUCUUCGAACUGAUAAAAAUCAUAAGAAAAUUAGAGGAUCUUAUUCUUUGCGAAAUCCAGAUGAAUCAAUUCAG